rnacentral:rRNA from 1 species
GCAUGGUUCGAAAUUGAAAGGCGGCUUCGGCUGUCACUUAUGGAUGGACCCGCGUCGCAUUAGCUAGUUGGUGAGGUAACGGCUCACCAAGGCAACGAUGCGUAGCCGACCUGAGAGGGUGAUCGGCCACACUGGGACUGAGACACGGCCCAGACUCCUACGGGAGGCAGCAGUAGGGAAUCUUCCGCAAUGGACGAAAGUCUGACGGAGCAACGCCGCGUGAGUGAUGAAGGCUUUCGGGUCGUAAAACUCUGUUGUUAGGGAAGAACAAGUGCUAGUUGAAUAAGCUGGCACCUUGACGGUACCUAACCAGAAAGCCACGGCUAACUACGUGCCAGCAGCCGCGGUAAUACGUAGGUGGCAAGCGUUAUCCGGAAUUAUUGGGCGUAAAGCGCGCGCAGGUGGUUUCUUAAGUCUGAUGUGAAAGCCCACGGCUCAACCGUGGAGGGUCAUUGGAAACUGGGAGACUUGAGUGCAGAAGAGGAAAGUGGAAUUCCAUGUGUAGCGGUGAAAUGCGUAGAGAUAUGGAGGAACACCAGUGGCGAAGGCGACUUUCUGGUCUGUAACUGACACUGAGGCGCGAAAGCGUGGG